UUGCUUUUGUUGGCCUCUGCUG
rnacentral:miRNA from 1 species